UCCGUGCCAGCAGCCGCGGUAAGACGGAGGAUGCAAGUGUUAUCCGGAAUCACUGGGCGUAAAGCGUCUGUAGGUGGUUUAGUAAGUCUAUUGUUAAAUCUUGAGGCUCAACUUCAAAUCAGCAAUGGAAACUGCUAGACUCGAGUAUGGUAGAGGUAAGAGGAAUUUCCAGUGGAGCGGUGAAAUGCGUAGAUAUUGGAAAGAACACCGAUGGCGAAGGCAUCUUACUGGGCCAUUACUGACACUCAGAGACGAAAGCUAGGGUAGCAAAUGGGAUUAGAUACCCCAGUAGUCCUAGCAGUAAACGAUGGAUACUAGAUGUUGCCCGUAUCAACCCGUGUAGUGUCAAAGCUAACGCGUUAAGUAUCCCGCCUGGGAAGUAUGCUCGCGAGAGUGAAACUCAAAGGAAUUGACGGGGGCCCGCACAAGCGGUGGAGCAUGUGGUUUAAUUUGAUGCAACGCGAAGAACCUUACCAGGGUUUGACAUGACAUGAAUUCUUCUGAGAAGAAGAAGUGCCUUUUAGGAACAUGUACACAGGUGGUGCAUGGCUGUCGUCAGCUCGUGUCGUGAGAUGUUGGGUUAAGUCCCGCAACGAGCGCAACCCUUGUUUUUAGUUAUUUUUCUAGAAAGACUGCCGGUUAUAAGCCGGAGGAAGGCGGGGACGACGUCAAGUCAGCAUGCCCCUUACACCCUGGGCUACACACGUGCUACAUUGGGUAAGACAAUGAGUCGCGAGCCUGUGAAGGUCAGCAAAUCUAUAAACUUACUCUAAGUUCGGAUUG
rnacentral:rRNA from 1 species